rnacentral:lncRNA from 1 species
CACUCAAAACCAAGAAAUUCUUCAAUGCCGUGGGCAUUGAUUCACUUUCACCAGAAAUUUGAGUGAUGAUGCAUUGCUUAAAUCACCAUGACAUGUGAGUGGAUGAUGCAAUGCUUAACUCACCAUGACAUGUGAAUGGAUGACUCAAUACCUAACCCACCAACAAUUCCCACUUUUUGCCAUGCUCACCUACUCAAUUCCACAAAAAUUUUGUGUUAAACAAGUCCAUCCUUUUCCUAUAAAUACCAUGGCAGCAACCUCAUUCAUGUUGGAAAUGUGCCCUAAAACCAAUCAUGUGAUGAUGCUUUACGGACAUUUCACAUGUUAAACUAAUCUAGUUUAAUAUAAAGGGCAAAGAUUAUUGUUUGAGCCGUCUCAUAUAAAUGUUAUAUGCUUAAACGAUAAAAUCCAAGGAAUAUGUGAUUGGGAGAAUGUAAUCUAAUGAAGUUAGAUUAAUGAGACCAUUCUUUCGUAGACACAUCCUAAAUGUUCCUGAUCAUAGGAUUGCCAAUUGGGCAUUGACAGUCUGUCAAGAUCGGUACGUGCUAUGUCUUCUCUCAGGGAGAGUGACUAGUCUCGAGUCAUUGGUGUGUGUGACAUCAAGACAAGUACGUAGGUGCUCAGUAGAGAAUGAGUUCACUGAACGCGAUCAACGAAAAGUUCUCAUACUCAUGUCACAUGAGAACUCAUGGUUGGGAUAAUGCAAAGUAGUCCUUUGACCUGAGG